GACAUCAGGAGGUUAGUGCAAUGGCAUAAGCCAGCUUGACUGCGAGCGUGACGGCGCGAGCAGGUGCGAAAGCAGGUCAUAGUGAUCCGGUGGUUCUGAAUGGAAGGGCCAUCGCUCAACGGAUAAAAGGUACUCCGGGGAUAACAGGCUGAUACCGCCCAAGAGUUCAUAUCGACGGCGGUGUUUGGCACCUCGAUGUCGGCUCAUCACAUCCUGGGGCUGAAGUAGGUCCCAAGGGUAUGGCUGUUCGCCAUUUAAAGUGGUACGCGAGCUGGGUUUAGAACGUCGUGAGACAGUUCGGUCCCUAUCUGCCGUGGGCGCUGGAGAACUGAGGGGGGCUGCUCCUAGUACGAGAGGACCGGAGUGGACGCAUCACUGGUGUUCGGGUUGUCAUGCCAAUGGCACUGCCCGGUAGCUAAAUGCGGAAGAGAUAAGUGC
rnacentral:rRNA from 2 species